UCGAGUGCGAAGUACCUGAUGUCACACUGCCAAGAAAAUCUUCUAGCGUUUAAUUAUAACCUACCCGUACCGCAAACCGACACAGGUAGUCGAGGCGAGUAGCCUCAGGUGAGCGAGAGAACUCUCGUUAAGGAACUCGGCAAAAUGACCCCGUAACUUCGGGAGAAGGGGUGCUCUACAUUUGUAGAGCCGCAGUGAAUAGGCCCAAGCGACUGUUUAUCAAAAACACAGCUCUCUGCUAAAUCGUAAGAUGAUGUAUAGGGGGUGACGCCUGCCCGGUGCUGGAAGGUUAAGAGGAGUGCUUAGCGUAAGCGAAGGUAUGAAUUGAAGCCCCAGUAAACGGCGGCCGUAACGAUAACGGUCCUAAGGUAGCGAAAUUCCUUGUCGGGUAAGUUCCGACCCGCACGAAAGGCGUAACGAUUUGGGCACUGUCUCAACGAGAGACUCGGUGAAAUUUUAGUACCUGUGAAGAUGCAGGUUACCCGCGACAGGACGGAAAGACCCCAUGGAGCUUUACUGCAAGUUGAUAUUGAGUAUCUGUUGCACAUGUACAGGAUAGGUAGGAGCCGAUGAACUGAGGACGCUAGUUUUCAGUGAGGCGAUGUUGGGAUACUACCCUUGUGUCAUGGCUACUCUAACCCGCAUGCCUAAUCGGCAUGGGAGACAGUGUCUGCUGGGCAGUUUGACUGGGGCGGUCGCCUCCUAAAGAGUAACGGAGGCGCUCAAAGUUUCCCUCAGCAUGGUUGGAAAUCAUGCGUAGAGUGUAAAGGUAUAAGGGAGAUUGACUGCGAGACUUACAAGUCGAGCAGGUACGAAAGUAGGACUUAGUGAUCCGGUGGUACCGCAUGGAAGGGCCAUCGCUCAACGGAUAAAAGCUACCCUGGGGAUAACAGGCUUAUCUCCCCCAAGAGUUCACAUCGACGGGGAGGUUUGGCACCUCGAUGUCGGCUCGUCGCAUCCUGGGGCUGUAGUCGGUCCCAAGGGUUGGGCUGUUCGCCCAUUAAAGCGGCACGCGAGCUGGGUUCAGAACGUCGUGAGACAGUUCGGUCCCUAUCCGUCGCGGGCGUAGGAAAUUUGAGAGGAUCUGCCCUUAGUACGAGAGGACCGGGGUGGACUUACCGCUGGUGUACCAGUUGUCUUGCCAAAGGCAUCGCUGGGUAGCUAUGUAGGGAACGGAUAAACGCUGAAAGCAUCUAAGUGUGAAACCAACCUCAAGAUGAGAUUUCCCAUUCUUUAUGAAUUAAGAGCCCUGAGAGAUGAUCAGGUAGAUAGGCUAGAGGUGGAAGGACAGUGAUGUUUGGAGCGGACUAGUACUAAUAGCUCGAGGACUUUACC
rnacentral:rRNA from 1 species